UGUCCAUCGCAUUCGCUAUAUUGUUCAGCAGACGUUCACGUUUGCUUCUUUCAAGGACAUUAGCUCAGAGAACAACAUCGUUUUGAUAGAAGCAAGGUCAAUGUGGAACAAAGUUGUUGUAAUGUAUUUAUUUGUGGAGAACGUAUGCAACACAACGAGCGAAGACAAUAUCACAAUUGACCUCUGUGAUCCACUAUGGACUCAAUUGUGUGAAGAUGAAGUUGACAUGAAACAAGAAGCAACUUUUGAAAAAGUUGAAGAAUUUUUGAGAACUUGCUUUGACCUAGCUACAGAAGAAUACAAAAU